rnacentral:rRNA from 1 species
GUCGAGGAUUUUUCUCAAUGGGGGAAACCCUGAAGGAGCGACGCCGCGUGAGGGAUGAAGGUCUUCGGAUUGUAAACCUCUGUCAUCUGGGAUCAAUGCUGUUCACCUAACACGUGGACAGUUGCUAGUACCAGAAGAGGAAGCAGUGGCUAACUCUGUGCCAGCAGCCGCGGUAAUACAGAGACUGCAAGCGUUGUUCGGAUUCAUUGGGCGUAAAGGGUCCGCAGGCGGUCAAGUAAGUCGGGUGUGAAAGCUCGUGGCCUAACCACGAAAUGUCAUUCGAAACUACUUGGCUCGAGGGCUGGAGAGGAGACUAGAAUUGCUGGUGUAGCGGUGAAAUGCGUAGAGAUCAGCAAGAAUACCAGUGGCGAAGGCGGGUCUCUGGACAGUUCCUGACGCUCAUGGACGAAAGCCAGGGGAGCAAACGGGAUUAGAAACCCGAGUAGUCC